rnacentral:rRNA from 1 species
UACGUAGGGUGCAAGCGUUAAUCGGAAUUACUGGGCGUAAAGCGUGCGCAGGCGGUUUUGUAAGUCUGUCGUGAAAUCCCCGGGCUCAACCUGGGAAUUGCGUUGGAGACUGCAAGGCUAGAAUCUGGCAGAGGGGGGUAGAAUUCCACGUGUAGCAGUGAAAUGCGUAGAGAUGUGGAGGAACACCGAUGGCGAAGGCAGCCCCCUGGGUCAAGAUUGACGCUCAUGCACGAAAGCGUGGGUAGCAAACAGG